rnacentral:rRNA from 1 species
GCAAGCCUGACGGAGCAAUACCGCGUGAGGGAGGAAGGCCUUUGGGUUGUAAACCUCUUUUCUUAAGGAAGAAGAUCUGACGGUACUUAAGGAAUCAGCAUCGGCUAACUCCGUGCCAGCAGCCGCGGUAAUACGGAGGAUGCAAGCGUUAUCCGGAAUUAUUGGGCGUAAAGCGUCCGCAGGCGGCAUUAUAAGUCUGCUGUCAAAGACCGCAGCUCAACUGCGGAAAGGCAGUGGAAACUGUAAAGCUAGAGUACGGUAGGGGUAGAGGGAAUUCCCAGUGUAGCGGUGAAAUGCGUAGAUAUUGGGAAGAACACCAGUGGCGAAAGCGCUCUACUGGGCCGUAACUGACGCUCAGGGACGAAAGCUAGGGGAGCG